rnacentral:tRNA from 1 species
GCCUGGAUGGCUCAGCGGUUGAGCGCCUGCCUUUGGCUCAGGUCGUGAUCCUGGAUUCUUGGGUUCGAGUCCUACAUCGGGCU